UUACAUCGGUUCAAGUGCAAUCACCGAAGUUAAGCAACGUCAAGCUUGGUCAGUACUUAGAUGGGUGACCGCUUGGGAAUACCAGAUGCUGUAAG